rnacentral:rRNA from 1 species
UACAGAGGUCGCGAGCGUUGUUCGGAUUCAUUGGGCGUAAAGGGUGCGUAGGCGGCUUCCUAAGUCUGAUGUGAAAUCCUGGGGCUCAACCCUGGAACUGCAUUGAAUACUGGGAGGCUAGAGUACUGGAGAGGAAACUGGAAUUUACGGUGUAGCAGUGAAAUGCGUAGAGAUCGGGAGGAACACCCGUGGCGAAGGCGGCCAUCUGGACCAGCACUGACGCUGAGGCACGAAAGCGUGGGGAGCAAACAGG